rnacentral:rRNA from 1 species
AACGAACGCUGGCGGCAUGCCUAACACAUGCAAGUCGAACGAAACCUUCGGGCUUAGUGGCGGACGGGUGGGUGACGCGUGGGAACCUGCCCUUGGGUUCGGAAUAACUCCCCGAAAGGGGUCCUAAUACCGGAUAAUGUCUUCCGACCAACGAUUUAUCGCCGUUGGGUGGGCCCGAGUUGGAUUAGCUAGUUGGUAGGGUAAAAGCCUACCAAGGCGACGAUGCAUAGCUGGUCUGAGAGGAUGCGCUGCCACACUGGGCCUGAGACACGGCCCAGAAUCCUACGCGAGGGAGCAGAGGGUAAUACAGCACGAUGGGCGAUAGCCUGAUCCAGCAAUGACGGGUAAGUGAUGUAGGCCUUAGGGUUGUAAAGCUCUUUUACCCGGGACGAUAAUGACGGUACCGGGAGAAUAAGCACCGGCUAACUCCGUG